GACGAACGCUGGCGGCGUGCCUAAUACAUGCAAGUAGAACGCACAGUUUAUACCGUAGCUUGCUACACCAUAGACUGUGAGUUGCGAACGGGUGAGUAACGCGUAGGUAACCUGCCUGGUAGCAGGUGUUAACUAUUGGAAACGAUAGCUAAUACCGCAUUAUAUUAAUUAUUGCAUGUUAAUUGAUUGAAAUGUACAAUUGCACCACUACCAGAUGUACCUGCGUUGUAUUAGCUAGUAGGUGAGGUAACGGCUCACCUAGGCGACGAUACAUAGCCGACCUGAGAGGGUGAUCGGCCACACUGGGACUGAGACACGGCCCAGACUCCUACGGGAGGCAGCAGUAGGGAAUCUUCGGCAAUGGACGAAAGUCUGACCGAGCAACGCCGCGUGAGUGAAGAAGGGUUUCGGAUCGUAAAGCUCUGUUGGAAGAGAAGAACGGGUGUGAGAGUGGAAAGUUCACAAUGUGACGGUAUCUUACCAGAAAGGGACGGCUAACUACGUG
rnacentral:rRNA from 1 species